UACGUAGGGGGCAAGCGUUGUCCGGAUUUAUUGGGCGUAAAGAGCGUGUAGGCGGCCAGACAGGUCCGUUGUGAAAACUCGAGGCUCAACCUCGAGACGUCGAUGGAAACCGUCUGGCUAGAGUCCGGAAGAGGAGUGUGGAAUUCCUGGUGUAGCGGUGAAAUGCGCAGAUAUCAGGAAGAACACCUAUGGGCGAAGGCAGCACUCUGGGACGGUACUGACGCUGAGACGCGAAAGCGUGGGGAGCGAACAGG
rnacentral:rRNA from 1 species